UAGGGAAUAUUGGGCAAUGGGCGGAAGCCUGACCCAGCCACGCCGCGUGCAGGAAGACGGCCCUCUGGGUUGUAAACUGCUUUUAACUGGGAAGAAAAGAGGCCUUGCGAGGCAAGUUGACGGUACCAGUUGAAUAAGCCACGGCUAACUACGUGCCAGCAGCCGCGGUAAUACGUAGGUGGCGAGCGUUAUCCGGAUUUAUUGGGUUUAAAGGGAGCGUAGGCGGCUGAUUAAGUCAGCGGUGAAAGGUAGCAGCUUAACUGUUUUACAUGCCGUUGAUACUGGUUAGCUUGAGUUGACAGAAGGCAGAUAGAAUUCCUGAUGUAGCGGUGAAAUGCUUAGAUAUCAGGAGGAAUACCGAUUGCGAAGGCAGUCUGCUGCAGUCACACUGACGCUGAGGCUCGAAGGUGCGGGGAUCAAACAGGAUUAGAUACCCUGGUAGUCCGCACAGUAAACGAUGAUUACUAGAUGUUGGCCAAGCCAGUGUCCAAGGGAAACCGAUAAGUAAUCCACCUGGGGAGUACGCCGGCAACGGUG
rnacentral:rRNA from 1 species